rnacentral:rRNA from 1 species
UACAGAGGUCUCAAGCGUUUGUUCGGAUUCAUUGGGCGUAAAGGGCGCGUAGGCUGCGGGGCAAGUCGGGUGUGAAAUCUCAGAGCUCAACUCUGAAACUGCACUCGAUACUGCUUUGCUUUGAGGACUGGAGAGGAGAUUGGAAUUCACGGUGUAGCAGUGAAAAUGCGUAGAUAUCGUGAGGAAGACCAGUGGCGAAGGCGGAUCUCUGGACAGUUCCUGACGCUGAGGCGCGAAGGCCAGGGGGAGCAAAACGGGG